rnacentral:lncRNA from 1 species
UGUACCUUGUGAUGCAGCUCUUUUCAUCUUGGAGUCAGUGUUCUGGAGAACGCCCUUUGUCCCGGUGUUUAAGACACCCGUCUGCUGACUUUAUCCCCCACCCCACUUGUGCAGGGGAACAGAGAAGCGAGAAGUAAGUGCUCUUUAGAGCGGCCGUAAUUCAUCUGGCUGGAACUGUUGUCAGAGGAGCCACCCAAAACACUAAUUCAGAAAGGCUUGGGAGAGGAGGGGCAGCUGACAGCCUGCGGCAUGAAACAGGCCAGGGCUGGUAUGGGGCUGGUCCUCACCCAACGACCCUCAUUAAAGUCCUCCUCGGUCAUGCUCCUUGACCUGCAGUUCUUCAAGGCACCGAACAUGGUCCCGCCAUUUAGGAAACAUUGUAAGAGUGACCGCUGGCUCUCCAUCUCCGGGAGGGAAAACGCAUGGACUUCGCCCGAGACCAUCUUCUGGACUCCCACUUCUUUUCCCCAUUAAACUGUAAUGUGCAAUUUCUCACUGAGAGUCAUCUGUGCCUUUCUAGAAAGACAUAUUUAAAAAAUGUUCUCUCCCGGGUGUUGGGAAACUCUUAGUCAUAUGAUAGGUUUCUAGAAAUUGAUACCAAAGAAAAAUAAAUCUCCAGAUUUUCUCCAGUUGAAAAUAUGUAAAAUAACACCAGUUGCC